rnacentral:lncRNA from 1 species
UGUCAAGACGCUCACUCGGAAGAAAAACAAGAAGAAAAAAAGGUUUUGGAAAAGCAAGGCGCAGGAAGUAAGCAAGAAGCCAGCAAGCGGCCCCGGUGCUGUGGUGCGACCUCCAAAGGCACCAGAAGACUUUUCUCAAAACUGGAAGGCGCUGCAAGAGGUUCCAAGAUGGACAGGAAGGCGCCAGUACCUCGCACCAAGGCCAGUGGAGCAGAGCACAAUAAGAAAGGAACCAAGGAAAGGACAGAUGGUGAUAUUGUUCCAGAACGAGGGGACAUCGAGCAUAAGAAGCGGAAAGCUAAGGAGGCAGCCCCGGCCCCACCCACCGAGAGAAGAGCUUGAAGUUGUUCAGAAGGAAGUGGCAGAGAUGCUGAAGGGCAGAAUUCUAGUGGGGCACGCUCUGCAUAAUGACCUAAAGGUACUGUUUCUUGAUCAUCCAAAAAAGAAGAUUCGGGACACACAGAAAUAUAAACCUUUCAAGAGUCAAGUAAAGAGUGGAAGGCCGUCUCUGAGACUACUUUCAGAGAAGAUCCUUGGGCUCCAGGUCCAGCAGGC